rnacentral:tRNA from 1 species
GACGGUAUAGCUCAGUGGUCUAGCACGUGCUUCGCAUGCAUGAGGUCCUGAAUUCAAUCCCCAGUACCUCCA